GAUGAACGCUGGCGGCGUGCCUAAUACAUGCGAGUCGAGCGAACGGACGAGAAGCUUGCUUCUCUGAUGUUAGCGGCGGACGGGUGAGUAACACGUGGAUAACCUACCUAUAAGACUGGGAUAACUUCGGGAAACCGGAGCUAAUACCGGAUGAUAUUUUGAACCGCAUGGUUCAAAAGUGAAAGACGGUCUUGCUUUCACUUAUAGAUGGAUCCGCGCUGCAUUAGCUAGUUGGUAAGGUAACGGCUUACCAAGGCAACGAUGCAUAGCCGACCUGAGAGGGUGCUCAGCCACACUGGAACUGAGACACGGUCCAGGCUCCUACGGGAGGCAGCAGUAGGGACUCUUCCGCAAUGGGCGAAAGCCUGACGGAGCAACGCCGCGUGAGUGAUGAAGGUCGUCGGAUCGUAAAACUCUGUUAUUAGGGAAGAACAUAUGUGUAAGUAACUGUGCACAUCUUGACGGUACCUAAUCAGAAAGCGACGGCUAACUACGUG
rnacentral:rRNA from 1 species